rnacentral:sRNA from 1 species
UUGUAAGGGUAAGGUAGGAAUGGCUCACAGAUAGUGUUUUAACACAGCACUAUGUUAACCCAGGCAAGUUUGAGUUACUAUGUCACUGUAGGUUGACUAUCGACAAGCCUGGGCAGUAGCAGUUUUAAGUGAACUGAACUCAAUAGAGUUGUGUUUAACAUAAGGUCUUCUAUUUGUUGUCUAGAAGCCAGGAAACAAAUCUAAAGCUGGUAAACAUUUCGUCUUCACGUUGAAGGUUCUAGGACAUAGUCAGAUAUAUUUUGACAAGAUUUAAGAGAAAAUUGGUCUGU